GACGAACGCUGGCGGCGUGCCUAAUACAUGCAAGUCGAACGCAGUGGGGACGGGUGAGUAACACGUGGGUAACCUCCCAUCAGAGGGGAUAACACUUGGAAACAGGUGCUAAACCGAUACUGAUGGAUGGACCCGCGGUGCAUGAGCGAGUUGGUGAGGUAACGGCUCACCAAGGCCACGAUGCAUAGCGCAUGUGAGAGGGAGAUCAGACACACGGGGACUGAGACACGGACCAGACUCCGACGGGAGGAAGCAGUGGGGAAUGUUCGACAAUGGGGGAAAUCCUGACCGAGCAAUGCCGCGUGAGUGAAGAAGGCUUUCGGGUCGUAAAACACUGUUGUUAGAGAAGCGGUAUCUGCACAGUAAGCCCCGGCUAACUACGUGCCAGCAGCCGCGGUAAUAC
rnacentral:rRNA from 1 species